AUGAACGCUAGCUACAGGCUUAACACAUGCAAGUCGAGGGGCAGCAUGGUCUUAGCUUGCUAAGGCCGAUGGCGACCGGCGCACGGGUGAGUAACACGUAUCCAACCUGCCGUCUACUCUUGGACAGCCUUCUGAAAGGAAGAUUAAUACAAGAUGGCAUCAUGAGUCCGCAUGUUCACAUGAUUAAAGGUAUUCCGGUAGACGAUGGGGAUGCGUUCCAUUAGAUAGUAGGCGGGGUAACGGCCCACCUAGUCUUCGAUGGAUAGGGGUUCUGAGAGGAAGGUCCCCCACAUUGGAACUGAGACACGGUCCAAACUCCUACGGGAGGCAGCAGUGAGGAAUAUUGGUCAAUGGGCGAGAGCCUGAACCAGCCAAGUAGCGUGAAGGAUGACUGCCCUAUGGGUUGUAAACUUCUUUUAUAAAGGAAUAAAGUCGGGUAUGCAUACCCGUUUGCAUGUACUUUAUGAAUAAGGAUCGGCUAACUCCGUGCCAGCAGCCGCGGUAAUACGGAGGAUCCGAGCGUUAUCCGGAUUUAUUGGGUUUAAAGGGAGCGUAGAUGGAUGUUUAAGUCAGUUGUGAAAGUUUGCGGCUCAACCGUAAAAUUGCAGUUGAUACUGGAUAUCUUGAGUGCAGUUGAGGCAGGCGGAAUUCGUGGUGUAGCGGUGAAAUGCUUAGAUAUCACGAAGAACUCCGAUUGCGAAGGCAGCCUGCUAAGCUGCAACUGACAUUGAGGCUCGAAAGUGUGGGUAUCAAACAGGAUUAGAUACCCUGGUAGUCCACACGGUAAACGAUGAAUACUCGCUGUUUGCGAUAUACUGCAAGCGGCCAAGCGAAAGCGUUAAGUAUUCCACCUGGGGAGUACGCCGGCAACGGUGAAACUCAAAGGAAUUGACGGGGGCCCGCACAAGCGGUGGAGUAUGUGGUUUAAUUCGACGCAACGCGAAGAACCUUACCAGGACUUGACAUCCUACUAACGAAGUAGAGAUACAUUAGGUGCCCUUCGGGGAAAGUAGAGACAGGUGGUGCAUGGUUGUCGUCAGCUCGUGCCGUGAGGUGUCGGCUUAAGUGCCAUAACGAGUGCAACCCUUGUUGUCAGUUACUAACAGGUUUCGCUGAGGACUCUGACAAGACUGCCAUCGUAAGAUGUGAGGAAGGUGGGGAUGACGUCAAAUCAGCACGGCCCUUACGUCCGGGGCUACACACGUGUUACAAUGGGGGGUACAGAGGGCCGCUACCACGCGAGUGGAUGCCAAUCCCAAAAACCUCUCUCAGUUCGGACUGGAGUCUGCAACCCGACUCCACGAAGCUGGAUUCGCUAGUAAUCGCGCAUCAGCCACGGCGCGGUGAAUACGUUCCCGGGCCUUGUACACACCGCCCGUCAAGCCAUGGGAGCCGGGGGUACCUGAAGUGCGUAACCGCGAGGAGCGCCCUAGGGUAAAACUGGUGACUGGGGCU
rnacentral:rRNA from 1 species